UGCGUAGGCGGGUCUUUAAGUCAGGGGUGAAAUCCUGGAGCUCAACUCCAGAACUGCCUUUGAUACUGAGGGUCUUGAGUCCGGGAGAGGUGAGUGGAACUGCGAGUGUAGAGGUGAAAUUCGUAGAUAUUCGCAAGAACACCAGGGGCGAAGGCGGCUCACUGGCCCGGUACUGACGCUGAGGCACGAAAGCGUGGGAAGCAAACA
rnacentral:rRNA from 1 species